UCUCGAUUGGUCUAGUGGUAAGGAUACCUGCUUGUCAUUGGUCGAUGCGGGUUUUCACGAUGGUGGAUACUCACGGCGAUUGGAGAACAAGUCGCAGGUGGCCGGGGUUCGAUUCCCCGAUCGAGAG
rnacentral:tRNA from 1 species